rnacentral:rRNA from 1 species
AGUGAACGCUGGCGGUAGGCCUAACACAUGCAAGUCGAACGGCAGCACAGUAAGAGCUUGCUCUUACGGGUGGCGAGUGGCGGACGGGUGAGGAAUACAUCGGAAUCUACUUUUUCGUGGGGGAUAACGUAGGGAAACUUACGCUAAUACCGCAUACGACCUACGGGUGAAAGCCGGGGAUCUUCGGACCUUGCGCGAUUGAAUGAGCCGAUGUCGGAUUAGUUAGUUGGCGGGGUAAAGGCCCACCAAGGCGACGAUCCGUAGCUGGUCUGAGAGGAUGAUCAGCCACACUGGAACUGAGACACGGUCCAGACUCCUACGGGAGGCAGCAGUGGGGAAUAUUGGACAAUGGGCGCAAGCCUGAUCCAGCCAUACCGCGUGGGUGAAGAAGGCCUUCGGGUUGUAAAGCCCUUUUGUUGGGAAAGAAAAGCAGCAGGUUAAUACCCCGCUGUUCUGACGGUACCCAAAGAAUAAGCACCGGCUAACUUCGUG